rnacentral:sRNA from 1 species
AUGUGAUUUAAAUCGCCAAUGUCCGC